UACGUGAGUAACCUACCUUUAACUCUGGGAUAAGCCUGGGAAACUGGGUCUAAUACCGGAUACGACCAAUCUCCGCAUGGGGUGUUGGUGGAAAGCGUUAUGUAGUGGUUAUAGAUGGGCUCACGGCCUAUCAGCUUGUUGGUGAGGUAACGGCUCACCAAGGCGACGACGGGUAGCCGGCCUGAGAGGGUGACCGGCCACACUGGGACNGAGACACGGCCCAGACUCCUACGGGAGGCAGCAGUGGGGAAUAUUGCACAAUGGGCGCAAGCCUGAUGCAGCGACGCCGCGUGAGGGAUGACGGCCUUCGGGUUGUAAACCUCUGUUAGCAGGGAAGAAGAGAGAUUGACGGUACCUGCAGAGAAAGCGCCGGCUAACUACGUGCCAGCAGCCGCGGUAAUACGUAGGGCGCGAGCGUUGUCCGGAAUUAUUGGGCGUAAAGAGCUUGUAGGCGGUUUGUCGCGUCUGCUGUGAAAGGCCGGGGCUUAACUCCGUGUAUUGCAGUGGGUACGGGCAGACUAGAGUGCAGUAGGGGAGACUGGAAUUCCUGGUGUAGCGGUGGAAUGCGCAGAUAUCAGGAGGAACACCGAUGGCGAAGGCAGGUCUCUGGGCUGUAACUGACGCUGAGAAGCGAAAGCAUGGNGAGCGAACAGGAUUAGAUACCCUGGUAGUCCAUGCCGUAAACGUUGGGCACUAGGUGU
rnacentral:rRNA from 1 species